rnacentral:lncRNA from 1 species
AUGCUGUGUUGUUAGUGGGAGAUCACGUGGAUUGGCUGCUUGGGCAUGGGGGCCACUUCCUACAUUAUUUCUGCUCAGAGGAGAAGAGCGAGCGGUCUUAGUUUGAACAAAAUGGCUGCAAGAACGCUGUCAACGAGAGCUCACUGAACGCAUUAUGACUGUCCACUCCUACAUUUGGAUUUUUCGAGAAUGUAUUUUCUUGGAUUCGUUUUUCAAUUUGCAUUCGUAGUAGCAAGGUCGUCGGUCAGAUGUUGUUGCUAACCUGCUAGCUCCUCAGCUAGCGGCCUAAACACAAAUAAUUUCAUUUUGCACUUUAACCCAAGUUUCCUAGCUAGCUAGCCAUUGUCGUCGACAAUUUACUGAAAUCUGCCUAUUUUCUUUCAUUUGCAAAUUACUCCUUACAACAGUCGAUGACUAAUGCCAACUAGCUAACGUUAACGUUAACUCCGCUACUUUUUGAGUCGGAAUUGUUUCUCUUGCUUUUUCGUUUUGCUGUUUUUUUUCUAUAUCGUGAUACUUACGUUUAGCAUGUUUUUUUGUUGCGACAAUUUUACUUUUAGUGCAUCGUUGCGCUAAAAUACAAAUUUCUUACUGUGUGUAUUUCAAGUAUCGAUCUCGGUAUUUUUGUUAUUAAGCUGCUCAAACAGUUAUCCUGUCAGUCAGUAAGCCCCUGCAGCAAGAGAGCUGCACUUGGCUAAUGCUAGCUAGCUGGAUAACUGCGAAGACUGAAUUCCUGAUUUGUAAUUUACGGGUAUUUUUCGGAAAAGGCACAGCAGAAUGCUUUUCUGCAUCGUUCUCUUUCAUGCACAAACUCUGUAUUGAAAGCUGCCAAAGCUCAACGUGUGAUUACGCAAGCUGAGAGAAGCGAACAACACGAGAAGAGAACCAUUUGAUGGAAGAAAAUAAAAAGCAAGAAAAGACCAAGAAGGAAGCUGCUCAGAAACAGGUGAGUUGUUACGUCUCUCUCCUCAAACGGAGUACCUCCUUCUGAAAAACCUCUCCAUCAGGCUACACCUUCUCCCUUCUUCCCUCCGUCAUUCACCUCUGUUCCCCAGGUAGGUGUGUUCAGUAUAGUCUCCUUAUGACUGAGUGUGGGAGUUCCUCCCUAGAUUAACCUCAUGGAUUAGCCUAGAGCCAAUAACCCUGCAGGCAGCACACUGCCAGGUGUAUGGACCCUAUUUAAAGACAGAUUAGAGCUGGCACACUAGCUACACACACUGCUCUGUUGGAAACACUAGCC